rnacentral:rRNA from 1 species
GGGGAAUAUUGGACAAUGGGCGAAAGCCUGAUCCAGCCAUGCCGCGUGAGUGAUGAAGGCCCUAGGGUUGUAAAGCUCUUUCACCGGUGAAGAUAAUGACGGUAACCGGAGAAGAAGCCCCGGCUAACUUCGUGCCAGCAGCCGCGGUAAUACGAAGGGGGCUAGCGUUGUUCGGAAUUACUGGGCGUAAAGCGCACGUAGGCGGACAUUUAAGUCAGGGGUGAAAUCCCGGGGCUCAACCCCGGAACUGCCUUUGAUACUGGGUGUCUCGAGUCCGGAAGAGGUGAGUGGAAUUCCGAGUGUAGAGGUGAAAUUCGUAGAUAUUCGGAGGAACACCAGUGGCGAAGGCGGCUCACUGGUCCGGUACUGACGCUGAGGUGCGAAAGCGUGGGGAGCAAAC